GCCUUUGUUUCCCUGUUUGUUAGAGGUUUUAUUUGCUCAGACAAAAUUCACUGCAAUAAACCUGUCUCUAACAUUAGCAUAACUACACAACAUUAGCAUAACCACAAGACAUUAUCAUAACCAUUAUGGACCCGAAAAACGCAAUUUUCAUGAGGUGACAGACAUCAAAAAAUAAUUGUGAAUUGAUGUUUUUGAUAUAAGAUCUGCAGAUCAGUCAGCCGUAAGUUGCCUGCGGUCUGAUCUCCUCAUCACAGUCACAUUCAGCGAUAAAAUUGUGUUUUCCUUCCUUUUGCAGCCUUUGAGUCACAGUGCCCAAGCAACCCAUGUGGAUUGUGGAUAACGGAGCGCACUUUGCUAAACCUUAUGAAAGUGUCACAUUACAGUGUCACAAUUCAACAUGGACUUUUACGAAUAACAAUCAUUUUAGAUGUCCACGAUCCAACAUGUAGAACCAUACCUCAGUUAGCCAUAGUUGAUAUGGGGCACGUAUUGGCACAUAACACAUAUGAGGAGCCAUAUAUAUCAUAUUUAUUCGAUAAUAUCUUUAGGUCUAUAUGAAAGCACAUCGUAAAAUGAAGGACUUCUAUUGGGCAAAGGAGAAUGAUCAGAACAUGAGAAUGCUGCAUCCACCCUCCUCGACUGGCAUCAUUAAGAGACCUGAUCGACUCCUCAAGCACAUUUAUGAUUAUGGGCCUCUGUCAUUUCCUGGUUGCUAAAAUCCUACGUAGUUCACUGAAAAUCAUGGUUUCAUCCAAAUUAAUUAUUUUUUACACCCUUUAAGCUGUUCGACCAAAAAUUUAAUUAAAACACAAGCAUGAGUGGGAAUGGGGGAUUGGGUUUGUUUAAUGUUAACUUUUGUUGCUGUAAUUCAACUAGCUUCCACACGGAGAAUCACAACAAAAUGUUGCUGCUUUAAUUAUUCCAUAAAUAAACUGCUACCCAGCUACCUGUUUUUGGUUGUUCAAUAGCAAGCAUUAGCUUGCUUUUAACUGACUGGAGUCAGUGUAUAGUACACAGGUUUAGAUGCAGGACAGUGGACUCUUUGAACAAGCUAACGUGUUGUGCAGCAGCUCCUGUCUCUGCCUUUGCAUAUAGAGCAUAGCGCUAGCAAUGUCAUGGUUGUGGGUUUGAUUCCCACAGUGGGCCGGUACAUUUUUUUUUUUGAAAGACGUAUGUACUCACUAAAUCUGCUUAAGUAGUAAAAAUGAAAAUGUGUCUCAAGCAAUGAAAUGCAUUUUGGUGUAAUGUCACUCGGGUUGAUUUGUCUAAAAGUGUAAUAUGUAGAAUUUGUAGAAUUGUAAUUUCAGAGUUAACAGUGGAUUUAUAGCAUUUCACAAUAUUUAUUGACCCGAUUUAGGUGCAAUUUGGUAUCAUGUCCGUUGGGCAGAUUUGCCCCAGAACAGAUUGAUGGGUACUUUUCCUUAUUGUUUUCUCCUGUGGGUUAUAUUGAUAUCAUUGUCACAACUAGGGGAUUUAUUGACACUGUAAUGCAGUAAUGUCCGCUCUAGAACACAAGUCACUAGCAAAACCAUUGAAAAUAGAAUCAGAUCAGUUCGAUAAGAAAGCACUGUCAUAACAGAUCAGAAUCCGAAAAGGAUUGUAUUUGUAUACUUUUAUAACUGGAAAUAAGCUUGGAGCUGCAGGUGUCACAGGGCUGCUAACCUGAUCUUUCCACAGUAUAAUGACAACAAAAUAAAUAAAUAAGUUAGGCCCCCAACCUCAUCUCUUUCUUUCUCUUAUCUUCUUUUGAUAACCACACAAAAAAAUUCAACCCAACUGCUGGUCCCCUGAAGGUUUUAACCUCCCCUCCUUCCUCGGUCUGCCUCUCUUCAGGGGUGCUCUGAGACUGGCAUUUGUAUUUCAGCAGGGAGUUAUGUGCAUCCAGGCUCUAACCGUGCUGGGCAGGAUGGGUAAUAUUGGGGGAGGGGAAUGACACUGAUAAGCAUGUGACCUGGGUUCCAUGUCAACCUACUCACACAAUGUUUUUCAAACAUGCUUUUCCAAAGCAGUGAAGAGAAAAUGAAAUGGUGGUUAGGGGGGUUAAAAUCCAACUGACCUUGAAGUACAGGUAUCUACCCUGGUCAAAGAGCAUCCAGGGGUUUUUAAACGCUUAGAAAGAAUGAAGGAAACACGUCUGUCAAACAGGCAUUGUGAGCCACAGCUGUCAAAUGCAAUGGUAGGCUGGAGACCAAUCCUGCAGACAUUCUCUCCUCAGAAAGUAAAGGUUCUAGCACUGGUCCAGCCUCAUUUAGUCAAACUCACUUCUACCAGAACCCACCUCUUGUGGCAACCAGAACCUACUUCUGCAACCCGGUAUGGACAGAAAAGUUAUGUUAUUUUUUGUAUGUGGUCUAAAAGUAAUGAUGCUGUUACAGUACACAAUAGCUAGUACACUAGCCUGAGUAUAACACUAGCCAACAAGUCCCUAAUGCAUUUUAUUCCCUCUUUCAUAGAAUUUUCAUCCAAAAAAUUUACUUUUUGGCAAAACUGUGACUACAGUUUGAUAAUUAAACUUCUGUACGGAUUUCAG
ensembl:lncRNA